rnacentral:rRNA from 1 species
UACAGAGGGGGCAAGCGUUGUUCGGAAUUACUGGGCGUAAAGGGCGCGUAGGUGGCCUUCUAAGUUGAACGUGAAAUCCCUGGGCUCAACCCAGGAACUGCGUCCAAGACUGGGAGGCUUGAAUCCGGGAGAGGGAUGCGGAAUUCCAGGUGUAGCGGUGAAAUGCGUAGAUAUCUGGAGGAACACCGGUGGCGAAGGCGGCAUCCUGGACCGGUAUUGACACUGAGGCGCGAAAGCCAGGGGAGCAAACGGGG